GACAGAGGGUGCAAGCGUUAAUCGGAAUUACUGGGCGUAAAGCGUGCGUAGGCGGUUGUUUAAGUCAGAUGUGAAAGCCCCGGGCUUAACCUGGGGACGGCAUUUGAUACUGGGCAACUCGAGUGUGGUAGAGGAGAGCGGAAUUUCCGGUGUAGCGGUGAAAUGCGUAGAUAUCGGAAGGAACACCAGUGGCGAAGGCGGCCACCUGGACGGUAACUGACGCUGAGACGCGAAAGCGUGGGGAGCAAAC
rnacentral:rRNA from 1 species